AUAUACACGUACGCAUGCUUGUGUGUUAACCUCCUUUUCUUCCUACGUAUAGACGUAUUCAAAGUAAGCGAAUACUACGAAAGUGAUUUUUUGUCGAAAGAAAAAAAAUGCAAGUUGUUUGUUCCUUACAAAAAUAAAAAAGAAAGAGAGCCUAGAUUUAUAGCAAUAGAAAAAUUAAAAAAAUUAUAUAAAGGGAUUAAUAUCUAUGAGCUGUUAAACGAGAAAAAAAAAAAUCUCGAUGCAGAAGAACUUAGUUUUAAUUGGACAGAUAUAAUAAAUUAUGAAGAUUCAUCUUUUGACAUUUUUACGACAGAAGAUAUAUUGGAAGAGUUAAAAGAAGAAGAUAAUAUAAAUGGGGUUGAAAAAAGGAAAGAGAAGGGAGUAAUUAACCAUAUUAACACGUAUACUAAUACCAAUAAUGUUAACUAUAAUAAUAAAAGUAAUCAUACGAAUAGCGACAAAGAUAAUGCAAAAUUAGAUGAUGUGAAAAGUAAAUUUGGUGUUUCAUUAAAGGCAAAGGGUGUAAUUUUACCAGAUGUUAAUAUUUUUCAUAGUACAUAUGAUGAUAUUUGUGUAUAUGGUUAUAAUUAUAAGAGUAAUUUAUUUAAAGCCAAAAAAAAAACAUCUAAUUCUUUUUUCGAAAUUCAUAGGAUUCAAUUUUUCUUUACUACUGAAAACCCAAUUAUUUAUGUAGAAAAAGUAAUAAAUGCUAUUAAAAAUAAAUCGAAUAUUAUAAAAAAAAAAAGACACUAUUCAGAAAUCGACCAUACGUAUUUAAAAUACAAUUGUGUUUUAGAUGAUGUGAAAACUAUAAUAAAAAAUGAUGUCCAUAUGAAAAAUUACCCAGUUAUUGAUACUAUUGCUGACGAUUUAAAUAGCUUUUGUAAUGUAUGGCUCGGUAGAUGUAUUUCGAAUCAGGCAUUGGGAAACAACUUCAGUAAUAACAUCAGCCAUAAUGUCAGCUGUGGUAGUUAUUACCAUGUUGAAAGGGUUAAUAAAAAUAAAAAAGAAAUAAAAUAUUACAAUUAUGAUUUUGAAAAUAAAAAAAAUAUAAUUAAGAAAUGUGUAUUAUUUGAAAAUACAAAAGUUAUUAAAACAUUUUUAGAUAUAUCCAAAAAAUGUUCUUUAAUAAAUAUAAUUAUAUUUGACACGAAUAUUACUAACCCAUUUGAAUUGAGUGAAUUUUACCAGUUGCAAAAUACGUCCAUUUUGAAGUCCUUCGAAACAGUCAACAACAUCUGGAUGAGCGAUAUAAAAUUCACUAUCGAAGAGAACCUAAAAGACUGCGCCAAAGGAAAUUAUAUUCUUAAAGAUGUGUCUAUUGAAACAUAUAAAUAUACAAAGAUACGUAUUUUUUUUAAUAUAUUGAAACUUAUGCUUGAAAAGAAAAUAAACGAAAUGUUAAUAAGUAAUAUAGAAAAUUUUAUAUCAAUGUUUGUAAAUAAUAUGACAAGUUACAAAAAAAAAAGAAAUUACAUUCCUGUAUUUGUAAUUAAUAUAACAAGAAAGUUUGACUGUUCGAAAUUUAUUUUAGAUAAUAAUUCAGUUUCCUUUUAUGAAAAAAUUGAAGAAAUUAUAAUUUCCACUUUAAUUAAAUAUCAACAAAUAGUAAAGAUUGAAAAGUUAAUUAUACCACAAGUAUUCAAAAAUGAUAAAUUCAUAUUUUAUAAUUGCAUGAAAGAAAAUGAUAUUUUUAUAAAUGGGAAAUUAAACCAAGUAAAAAAUAUAUUUGAAGAAUCGAACAUACUAGUGAAUAAUUACUUAGAAAAAAUAAAUAAGCACUCAGGCAUACUAACGUUUAAUAUUAACGAAGCUAUUAAAAAUAUAGAUAUAAACACGAGCGUGGAACAUAUUCAAAAUAUAAUUAACAAGAACCAAGAAAAAAUACAAAAUAUAAAUGACACGAUUGAGGAGAAUAUAAACUUGGGAGUAUUUCUAGUCAAAUCUAAGGAUAUCAAACUUUUUAUUAUUAAUGAAAUUAGUAAUUAUGUUAAGGCUCUCAUUGACAUUAUUGUGCAAAGGUAGGGCACUGUCAGUUAGUGGUAGCGUCAGUUAUUUGGCGGUAGUAGUGAAACAAAUAAUUUUUUUGUUUCGAAUUUUAACGACAUAACAGUGACUCGGUUUAAAAAAAAAAAAAAAAAAAAUUGUCUCAUACUGAUUAAUGUGUAUCGCAUAAUAUAUAUGCGUUCUCUUAUGAGUUACGCCUACAUUUUAUCAGAGCAUUUAGUAAAUGAAUAAACAUAUAAGCAAACGGAUAGGCA
ensembl:lncRNA